UACGUAGGGGGCAAGCGUUGUCCGGAUUUAUUGGGCGUAAAGAGCGUGUAGGCGGCCGUACAGGUCAGCUGUGAAAACUCGAGGCUCAACCUCGAGACGUCGGUUGAAACCGUACGGCUAGAGUCCGGAAGAGGAGAGUGGAAUUCCCGGUGUAGCGGUGAAAUGCGCAGAUAUCGGGAAGAACACCCGUGGCGAAGGCGGCUCUCUAGUACGGUACUGACGCUGAGACGCGAAAGCGUGGGGAGCGAACAGG
rnacentral:rRNA from 1 species